GAUGGCGAAAUGAAAGUGAAGGCCGCCCCGCCGCUUCGCGCGAGCGGGGAAGCAGAACGGCCGAGGCGAGAUCCUAAAAAAGCCGCGUAUCCUUCUCUCCGGAGUCGGACCGGCGAAAUUUUUAAAAGAAACCGGACAUGGUAGGCACGUCGGUCGGCUCGUCAAACAGCCCGGCCGGCGGUCCGGAGGCGCAUCGCCGGCCCGUCUCGAUUGCUCCGAUCUUCCGCGCCUUCUCUCUAUUUCCGUCCGUGCGUUUUCGACUCUCUCGGGGGUCGGGCUCGCGCCUCGGAUCGGAGUCGGCGUCGGUCGAGAGGAACUGUAGUCAAUGAGGCGGAGCAAGAGCACACACGUUGGGACCCGAAAGAUGGUGAACUAUGCCCGGGCAGGACGAAGCCAGAGGAAACUCUGGUGGAGGUCCGCAGCGAUUCUGACGUGCAAAUCGAUCGUCGGACCUGGGUAUAGGGGCGAAAGACUAAUCGAACCGUCUAGUAGCUGGUUCCCUCCGAAGUUUCCCUCAGGAUAGCUGGCGCUCGGGAAAAAAAGGAAACAGUCUCAUCCGGUAAAGCGAAUGAUUAGAGGCAUUGGGGCCGAAACGGCCUCAACCUAUUCUCAAACUUUCAAUGGGUGAGAUGUCCGGCUUGCUUAACGAACGAAAAACGGGGGCGGUCGCUCGGGCCCGUCGGCGUGCUUGCUCUUUCUUUUCGGAGAUUGGGCUUCGCGUCGCGCGGGAACCCGUCGGCCGCAAACCCUUGAAGCACGGACGUAGGAUGCGAGUGCCCAGUGGGCCACUUUUGGUAAGCAGAACUGGCGCUGUGGGAUGAACCAAAAGCCGGGUUACGGCGCCCGAUGCGGACGCUCAUCAGACCCCAUGAAAGGUGUUGGUUGCUAUUGACAGCAGGACGGUGGCCAUGGAAGUCGGAAUCCGCUAAGGAGUGUGUAACAACUCACCUGCCGAAGCAACUAGCCCUGAAAAUGGAUGGCGCUCCAGCGUCGAGCCUAACCCCGGCCGCCGGACGGCAUUGAAAAUUGAACUGAUUAUAAAAAAUCGAUGCCCCGGCGAGUAGGAGGGUCGCGGUGGUGAGCGUUGAAGGGAUCGGGCGCGAGCCUGCCUGGAGCCGCCACCGGUGCAGAUCUUGGUGGUAGUAGCAAAUACUCGAGUGAGAACCUUGAGGACUGAAGUGGAGAAGGGUUCCAUGUGAACAGCAGUUGAACAUGGGUCAGUCGGCCCUAAGGAAUAGGGGAAACCCGUUCUGAAAAGAAACCGGAAUGCAAAAACGAAUGAAACAAAGAAAGAGAAGUGAAAAAUGACCGGUGAUGACCGAAAGGGAAUCGGGUUAAUAUUCCCGAACCCGGAUGCGGAGAUCGACCCUCGCGGGUCUGAAGCGGUAACGCGUAACGAACUCGGAGAUUGCCGGCGGGGGCCCCGGGAAGAGUUUUCUUUUCUUUGUAAAGGACGGACUCCCUGGAAUCGGCUCGCCCGGAGAGAGGGAUGUUGUUCCUGUAAAGCACCGCGGCUCUUGCGGUGUCCGGAGCGCUCUCGUCGGCCCUUGAAAAUCCGAGGGAGUGAAUGAAUGAUUUCCGCACCGGACCGUACCCAUAUCCGCAGCAG
rnacentral:rRNA from 1 species